UUUUAUUUUUUGUGUGUGUUUCCAUUUGUAUAGAAAUGUAUGUUUUUAUCUAGGAGAUGUGGUUGCUUGCUGCUUUCUUUGGUAGUGCACGUAUUUGUCAUUGUGGAAGAAGUCUAAUUGUGGACUUCUAUAUUUCCAAAUUAAAAUGCCAAGCAGAUACAACCCUAGAGGGACUGUUUUGGAGCUGGCUGCAGUUUUGCUUCUCUUCUCCUUCUUCCAAGUGGUAGCCACAACUCAGCUGAACUGCACAGUGCCACCUUCCUGAGAUGAGGAAAGCAGUUAGCUUUGGCUGAAUCACUUGGAUUUCAUGUCUCUCCAAUGCAGAAGGGCAAGCUGAAAGAAAAAUUCUGGUCUCUGAGCCAAAUAAAAGAUCCUUGUUCUGAUAUUCUGCAUUCACUGGAGCUCUACACGUGGUGGAAAGAAUGGAAGGGCAGAACGGAGGAUGAAGCAAAGAUAGCCUUCUGCGCAUUAAAAAGACAGAAAGGAUUUCCACCAGCAACAAACCUGGAAGUGUCCUGAACCACCACAAAAAGCAAAGCCUGGUUCCCAUGCUGUCCUGUGCACCAUCUCUCCCAAAGAAUGUUGUCUUCUGGCACAUGUAGCUCUUUUAGCCUACAAGGACAUAAGCCAUUGCCUAACUCAAGAACAUGCAUUGUCCUUAAAAAAAAAACCAACACAUCAGGAUUGUAUGCUGCUUUUCCCAGUCUUCCUUUUCCUCUCCCUCAUACCAAAUAUAUAUAUAUAUAUAUAUUUUGUCAGGUUUGUUUUUAAACAAGCUGACAAGCAACUCUGCAUGCUUUCUGACAGUUUUCCAAAAGGAUAAAAACAAAGCAAAACUGAAGGGAGGUGUACAAAUGAGGGGGUCUCAGUUGUAUUACCUGUUUCUAACCUUUCCUUACCCACUCCUCAAAGGGCUGACCUUUAGCCUUACAAUGUUCUCAUUUUUUGGCUGGGAUAAUGGUGGAGGUCCUGGUUCUCUGCUCCGCUGAAGUAAGCUGAAAGGCUUUCCUUGGUUGAUCCUGAUGAAUGGAUGCAUUGUAGAGGGUCACCUCUCUUGACAGUUUGUCUUCCUAAUAUGACUAUGUUCCGCUGUAAGCAGUAACUUUUGCUUCAUGAGAAAAGUCAUUUCAAGAAGAUUAAAACAUUACUCUUUCCAGCUCAAGUUGAAUAUAGGGAGAGAGAAAGAAAUGACAAAAAAGAAGCGUUAAUCCAUGCAAACAUACCUGCAGGUUUCUGUAGAAUUAGAAAUUUGUGACCUCUCUUCUUGCUACAAGUGCAAACUGAGUAGAUCCAAUGAAGUCUGCAGAGUUCCUGUGGUGUAAACAAAUGUUGUCACUUGGUCAUGUGUGGUUCUUCAUCCCUCCCUCCACCCAAGUGCUAGUAACUGUUGCAACGGCCAGGAGAAAAAUGUUCAAUUUUUUAACCCGAAUAUGUGUUUGCCUAAUGUUUUAAAAACCACAACUGAGUUUUUGGGGUGUAUCCACACAGUGAUGGUAGUUGCACCCAAGCCACAGGGGCUGCUGACAGCCUGGACUGGCGGCCAUUUUGUUGCAUGGCUGUGGGCCGUUAGUUCUGGCGGCCAUUUUGUUGCAUGGCUGUGGGCCGUUAGCGCUGGCGGCCAUUUUGUUGCAUGGCUGUGGGCUUCGAGCUGAGGUGCAACCUUGUGCUGCUGUCUGAGCAGCUUCUGGUGGGGAAGUUCACACCGGGGCUGCACCUGAGCAUGGAAACAUGGCCUCUGAUGCUUUAACAGCCUCAAAGCCUUCCUGUUUCAGGGAACGCAUCAUGAAAAAAAUUGUGACUUUUUUGGCAAAGCUGGAUGGCUUGAUUUUCCCAUAAUGUUCACUGCAGACAGGCUCGCCAGCUUGUUAACAGCACCUGGCUGAGGUGGCUUCCAGAAAGAAGGUGUGCUCCACAGCACUGUGGUGCCUGCCACCUUCGCGUGGAUGCCAAGCGUUGAUGCGGGUGUCACACUGCAGCAGCAGACGGCUGGUAAGCAGCUGGGUGUGGACAAAGGGCCCCCACAUCGCCCCUUCCCUCCUUGGGCGACCGCGGGGGCUACAGGCGACCCGCACUCAAGCAGAGGAGCUGCGGGAAUCCGCAGAUGAGCCGGGUCCCUUCGUUCCUCGCCCUCCUUCGACGGGAGGCUCCUCAGACGGCAGCUCGCCCCGCUGCUGAGGCAGGCGGCGCGGGAGGAGCCGCGGCAGGGCCCGGCCGGCCCCGCUCGGCCUUCGGCCCCGCCAGGUGGCGCCAGCCCCCUCCGGCAGCCGGCCCUGGAGCGGCCCCGGGGAGCUCGGCCGCCGCCGCGGGCUCCUGAGGCGGAGGCGCCCGGUCCGGCCCUGGGGAGGAAGGUGCCGAGCUGAGACGCGCUCGUGGGCAGAAAGGCGUGUGUUUUACAAAGCCUUCUGCUGGGAACAGCUUGGAAGACGAGGGAAGGGCGACUUUCUGUAAGGUCGCAGAAAGAGCAGCAGCGCAGAGCUGCAGCGCCCCUUCUCUGAGGACCCUUGCGGACCCACCAAUAUUUCAUGUGAAGUUUGGUGUGAGAGGCUGUGAAAACAACAGCAGAACUUUCUUUGCACUUUGAAGAGAGCCCAGUUUGCCUGUGAAGUUCAACUCAAGAGGUGCUGCUCUUGAGAGGUGCUGAAUGGCCCUUGGACUUGAAGAAUAUCCUGAAUUUCCUCCAUCUUCAGUAACAGAAGAAAAUACUCAGCACCAGAAACAACUGAACCAUGACACUUGAAAUUUAAAAACGCAUGACAAACAACAGCCUGGAGCAAACACCAGACAAAAGUACUGAGAUACAGACUGUAAACUGCCUGCAAAAGAACACCCCAAACACUAGCAGUAGAGCUAGGAUAAGAUUUUGAGACUCGGCACAGAGCAGGAAGCCCAUGCCCUGCAAGAGCACCGACAUCACCAGUUCGCUCUACAUUCAGUGUCAUCACCUGGCUCCUUUCUGACAAUUGUCCUGUUUUGACCACAAGGAUAAGGAGACGGACAUCUGCUUAGCUCCUCGCUUAGAAAGCUAGAGGCCUACAAGAAGGCAUAGAAAAACUCGGCAGUCUGCUUAAAAAUGAAGAAGUCGUGACACCUAGCGGUCCUGGAGAAUGGGUGAGGUGCCUGAAGACUGGAGGAAAGCCAGCGUCAUUCUAGUCUUCAAAAAGGGCAGGAAGGAGGAUCUGAGAAGUGACAGGUCAGUGUUUGGGAUGGGACGCGGGACCGGGGAUGCCUCCUCUUCACGUACAAGGACACGCGUCUCUUUCACGCUCCUUCAGGAGUAAACAAGCCAGGAGAGAUUAAAGCCUCUUUCUCCAGUCUCCCAGCUCAGAGCCAACCACCUAUUAGUCUGGCGCAACGGAUUUGUGCAUUCCUAGCACUAGCUGUUCCUUCACCUCCUCUUCACGUACAAGGACACGCGUCUCUUUCACGCUCCUUCAGGAGUAAACAAGCCAGGAGAGAUUAAAGCCUCUUUCUCCAGGUCUGAGAAGACCCAUCUGCUGAGAAGACCCUCUGAUCUUUGCCUAGUUGCCAGAAUUUCCAGCUUCUACCAUACUACAGAAACUGCAGCCACAGCAUCCCACCAGUACACAAGCAGUACCUGUGCAGAAGCUGUUCACCGCCCACAGAGGGGAAGGUGAAGCUAGCAGCAACCUGCAUGUAUGUCAAGAGCAGAAGAACAGACCAAAGUGAGCACUCUGUACUGCCACUCCAGCCAGGGAAAAAGAAGAAAGAAAAUAGAGAAACUACACAUGAAUCCCACACAGGUGUUCAAGAGAUUAAGAAGAAGAAAAAAGAAGCUGAAGGAUGGCUGGGAGACAAGACCUGCAGAAAAUGUUCUAUAAACUUGGUAUGGUGUCAAAGGAGUACAAAGGACGAGAAAAAAACUUGGAGCUGAAGACUACGAGCCUUCAGCAUGAAAGACCCCUAGAGACGACUGAUGCGCAUGCUCCAGUAGGAGGGACUGGACCCCGGAAGCUAAUUAUAAUAACCUGUUUUUUUU